rnacentral:tRNA from 1 species
GCCUGGGUGGCUCAGUCAGUUAAGCAUCUGACUUCAGCUCAGGUCGUGAUCUUACGGUUCGUGGGUUCAAGCCCCUCAUCAGGCU